rnacentral:rRNA from 1 species
GAUGAACGCUGGCGGCGUGCCUAAUACAUGCAAGUCGAGCGAACAGACGAGGAGCUUGCUCCUUUGACGUUAGCGGCGGACGGGUGAGUAACACGUAGGUAACCUACCUAUAAGACUGGGAUAACUUCGGGAAACCGGAGCUAAUACCGGAUAAUAUUUCGAACCGCAUGGUUCGAUAGUGAAAGAUGGCUUUGCUAUCACUUAUAGAUGGACCUGCGCCGCAUUAGCUAGUUGGUAAGGUAACGGCUUACCAAGGCAACGAUACGUAGCCGACCUGAGAGGGUGAUCGGCCACACUGGAACUGAGACACGGUCCAGACUCCUACGGGAGGCAGCAGUAGGGAAUCUUCCGCAAUGGGCGAAAGCCUGACGGAGCAACGCCGCGUGAGUGAUGAAGGUCUUCGGAUCGUAAAACUCUGUUAUUAGGGAAGAACAAACGUGUAAGUAACUGUGCACGUCUUGACGGUACCUAAUCAGAAAGCCACGGCUAACUACGCG